CGGGUGCACUGAUCCAGCCGGGCCUUUCCCUCUGUGGAACCCCAUGGCCUUCACUGGCUGUGGUGGGGAAACAGGACUUUUACUUUGAAAAAAUUAGAGUGCUCCAGGCAGGCCUAUGCUCGAAUACAUUAGCAUGGAAUAAUAGAAUAGGACGUGUGGUUCUAUUUUGUUGGUUUCUAGGACCGCCGUAAUGAUUAAUAGGGACAGUCGGGGGCAUCAGUAUUCAAUUGUCAGAGGUGAAAUUCUUGGAUCUAUUGAAGACUAACUACUGCGAAAGCAUUUGCCAAGGAUGUUUUCAUUGAUAAGGAACGAAAGUUAGGGGAUCGAAGACGAUCAGAUACCGUCGUAGUCUUAACUAUAAACUAUGCCCGACUAGGGAUCGGACGAUGUUAUUCUUUGACGCGUUCGGCACCUUUCGAGAAAUCAAAGUGCUUGGGCUCCAGGGGGAGUAUGGUCGCAAGGCUGAAACUUAAAGAAAUUGACGGAAGGGCACCACCAGGGGUGGAACCUGCGGCUUAAUUUGACUCAACACGGGGAAACUCACCAGGUCCAGACACAGUGAGGAUUGACAGAUUGAGAGCUUCUUUUCUUGAUUCUGUGGGUGGUGGUGCAUGGCCGUUCUUAGUUGGUGGAGUGAUUUGUCUGCUUAAUUGCGAUAACGAACGAGACCUUAACCUGCUAAAUAGCCCGUACUGCUUUGGCAGUUCGCCGGCUUCUUAGAGGGACUAUCGG
rnacentral:rRNA from 1 species